GUUAACCACAGCAGAUUGCAUCCAUAUUUGAUUUGGUAGAAGUUUUACACCACAUACCCUCCUCUUUAUGCAGGCUUGUGAGCCCUCAGGCUGGGAAUGCAUCUCCUCCCUGUCUUGAACUGGGGAUCUUUUGUGUGCUGUUGGACAGUUUCCACGACUUAAACAAAAUGAUCGGCCAGAGAUACAAGAGAGCCAACGGCGUGUCUCGUAACCUGCUGCUGAAGACUUUACACCUGGAGCAGCCGCACACUGAAAGCAGACCUGCUUCCUGGACAGCAAACUGCCGCCUCUCCCCUGGCCUCCCCUCAGCCAAUCAGCAUGCUCAAAAUGCCGCUGCCAAGCGACGGCUGUCCUAUGACUACAACAGGAACAUCAUGGAGUAACUCUGUGGACCUCAGCUCUGGUUUGGCUGUCAGCAUUCACAAUGAAGGACUGCAGGUUUUAACAGGUUUCUCGAGGAUCCGGAUUCACAGCAUAUUAAACUAAGCACUCAUCGACCUGCUGACUCUUUGCACACUUCCUGGUUAUUUAAGCCUGAGACAGUGAGGAGAGCCGGUGUCUCCUCCAGCACCUGCUGAUGUAUACUGGGGGAGUGGUUUUUUUUAUAUCACGUGUUCAUCACCUUGUUCACUAUCACCACUACCACCCAUUAAGUAUCAACCUUACCUACUGAGAUUCUUUGGAGCAUUGUGACCUGUUACAAGGUACACGCCACCACCUUAAAGGCACUCUAAUUUUUUCCUCCUCUAACAGAAAUAGAUCUGAAGCACCACUGCUUUUUGUCUCAAGGGUAGAAUAAAUAUAAAGCAUAUAAUACUCACAUGGGGUGAACUUAAAUAAUAAAAAUAAACGUUUCUCCCACUGAAAUCACUACGUCCAGAUGAACAGAAUCAACCUUUUGUGGUAUAUAAGACAUCAUUUUACAUACAUUGGCGGCCCUGUCAGUCAUGAUUUUUGACAUGCCGGUUGUUUAGCGUACGUCUGCUGUCUCUUUAAAAGUUUGUGGUUUGUUUUUGUCGUGCAGAAAUGGAAGAGUGUAACUGGGGCAAAAAGUUUCUACCUCCAGUGUUGCUGAUCUAACAGACAAAUAAAAUUAUGUUGCACUACACUACAGUUUAAAUUUGAAAUAGAUUUUUUUAUUAAGUAGGAAAAUCCUAGUUCUGAAAAACUGGUAUUCUUCAUAUACUAUAUGCUGUGUACUGUAAGCAUAUUCAUACAAUAUGUCAGUUAGGCUGAAAGGGGAAGAACAUCUGGGGUUAUUGGUUAAGUUUCUAACCAUGAAGACACAGCUUUACUUCACACAGGGGGCCUUUAAGGCUUCUCCUUAUUUCCUGCCAUGUAUAUACUCUCACAGUGAUGGAUGCUCAUGUUGAACAUGGCCAAAGGUUCAAAUAUUGAGCCAUGUAUAUAUAAAAGUAAUUCCUGUGAGCUUAAUAUCCUGCAUAUCAUUUCAGUCACACAGGUGUGGCUGUGAGCACUAAAGCCCCACCUGCCUGUGUUCAAACCAAUCAGGUGAGGCUCUAAUACAGCUUCUUUCAGACGGAGUAUGAGCUGGGGGGCUGCAUCAAUGACCAGUGUGAAUUUUGAAUGAGCAGAACAGGUACAAGACAAACUGUGUCAACGUAGCAUUUUAAAUUACCCAAGCAUCUUUUUCCAAUCUGUGCUUUUCAGUUAUUUCAAAUUGGACUAACAAGCCAUUGUGAUGGAGGCAUACAUGUCUGUAUUAUUGAGUGCCAAGUCAGGUAAAUGGGAACUAUCAGAAAACUAGAUUUGUAGUUAUAUUUCCAGCCACGUUUUAUGAAAGUAGCAUAAAGUUCCAGUCUUCCUCCCGGAAAAGAUCUCUGGGUUUAAUUACAGAAGAAGACUCGAUGACAUGAUGCUUGUUUUUGUUCUGUAGCUCCAUUAAUGUGGUGGCUUGACCCUUUGUAACAGCUUCACUCCUCUUCAGUUUUCCUGUCUGUAGCAGAAACCUCUACAGAUGUCACCAUCGCCUGGAUUCAUGCACAUGUUCAGUAGAAGUAACAGAAAAACCUUUUGUCUAGUCGUGUCAUCACACAGAAGAUCAGAGUCAAGCGUUAUUUUUUUUCCAAAACGUAGAGCAGAUAUAAUAAUGAGUACUAAAGAAAGAUCAAGAUUGUUUUUGUUUUAAUUUUGUUUACAUUUGACAUUUUGAUGCAUGUGCUUUCAUUGUGUAUUUGCUACUGAAAAGCCAGUGACAGGAACAGGUCUCAACUUUGUUCUGGUUCCUCAGAGAAACAAGUUUGUCUUCCAGUUAGUGCCAACAGGAACACCAGAGAAAGUGCCAAUGUUUACGAGGUUACGGAAGUGAUUUCAGGAGGAAAUGUUUGUCUUGUUUCUCAAACACACUGAAGUGGACUCAAACAAAAGCAUGUGAUGUUCCACCUUUUUCUUUCUUUCUUUGUCUUUCUGUCUCGCUUCUUGUCUGCCGAAUGUCUCAGUACAUUCGUUUUAGUUCAGCGCUGUUCUGUAGUCGAGUCCACUUCAUGGGCAAAACUUGAAUUUAGCUGCCGGUCAAAAUGAUAUUUUAUGAGAAUAUUGUUCACAUUAUGUCGAUCAUGCACCGCGUUUCUAAUUUGUGGCACCUCAGAAAACUUUAAGUCGCUCUGUUGUGUAUUUCAAUUGUUAACUCUGUUAAUCUGUGAUGAAAUUCAGAAUCAGUCGUGUGUGUGUGUGUGUGUGUGUGUGUGUGUGUGUGUGUGUGUGUGUGUGCCAUUUAUACAACAUUCAAAUUCUUGAAAAAAUGGAUAUUUUCUGUUACAAUGAGGAGGAUCCAGCUGUCGCCUUGUUGACUGAUGUAAUAAAAUGAUACUGCGUGUUGGCUAAUGCUUCCUCCUGACAUGCAGAAUUAUGUGACCUGUUGAUUUCAUGAAGAGGGAACCACUGGCUGACUAGUAACUCAGAUAAAAUCAUCACAUGGUCUGCUCUUCUGGGCCAUGUUUGAACAUUUUGAAAUCCACUCACUCGUCCUUUGUAAAUAUUACGAAACGAACAAAUAUUUCCCAGACAGACCGAGAAGAAGUCAGACCUGACAUAAUUCAGCUGACGUUUCAUGGAGUCAAUGAGGGUUUUUCAUGAGCUUGUCAUGAAAAACAUUCAAACCCAUCCAUCUUUUUUCCUAACCGCUUAUCAGAUUGAAGGUUACCAGCUGUCAGUGGGUGAUGACCGAUCCUCAGUUUUCUGGAAUCAGACCAAACAAUUAAUGAACAUAAAUAUGUUUUAGGUUUACUCUUUGCCAAAAUUGCU
ensembl:lncRNA